UACAGAGGUCCCAAGCGUUGUUCGGAUUCACUGGGCGUAAAGGGUGCGUAGGUGGCGGGGUAAGUCUGGUGUGAAAUCUCCGAGCUCAACUCGGAAAAGCAUUGGAAACUAUCCCGCUAGAGGGUCGGAGGGGAGACUGGAAUUCUCGGUGUAGCAGUGAAAUGCGUAGAUAUCGAGAGGAACACCAGUGGCGAAGGCGGGUCUCUGGGCAACAACUGACGCUGAGGAGCGAAAGCGUGGGGAGCGAACAGG
rnacentral:rRNA from 1 species